UUACAAAAGGAAAACAGGGAAAGGGAGACGUCUCACUGCCUGGCACAGCAUCACAAAGCCCCCUCAUCCCAGACCGUGCCCCUUU
rfam:Tursiops truncatus cont1.129461, whole genome shotgun sequence.